rnacentral:rRNA from 1 species
GCUUAGUACGGCGAGUGAGCGGCAAAAGCUCAAAUUUGAAAUCUGGCACCUUCGGUGUCCGAGUUGUAAUUUGAAGAAGGUAACUUUGGAGUUGGCUCUUGUCUAUGUUCCUUGGAACAGGACGUCACAGAGGGUGAGAAUCCCGUGCGAUGAGAUGCCCAAUUCUAUGUAAAGUGCUUUCGAAGAGUCGAGUUGUUUGGGAAUGCAGCUCUAAGUGGGUGGUAAAUUCCAUCUAAAGCUAAAUAUUGGCGAGAGACCGAUAGCGAACAAGUACAGUGAUGGAAAGAUGAAAAGAACUUUGAAAAGAGAGUGAAAAAGUACGUGAAAUUGUUGAAAGGGAAGGGCUUGAGAUCAGACUUGGUAUUUUGCGAUCCUUUCCUUCUUGGUUGGGUUCCUCGCAGCUUACUGGGCCAGCAUCGGUUUGGAUGGUAGGAUAAUGACUAAGGAAUGUGGCUCUACUUCGGUGGAGUGUUAUAGCCUUGGUUGAUACUGCCUGUCUAGACCGAGGACUGCGUCUUUUGACUAGGAUGUUGGCAUAAUGAUCUUAAGCCACCCGUCUU